rnacentral:rRNA from 1 species
UGUUCUGCCAAGGGCAUAGCUGGGUAGCUAUGUGCGGAAGGGAUAAGUGCUGAAAGCAUCUAAGCAUGAAGCCCCCCUCAAGAUGAGAUUUCCCAUAGCGUAAGCUAGUAAGAUCCCUGAAAGAUGAUCAGGUUGAUAGGUUCGAGGUGGAAGCAUGGUGACAUGUGGAGCUGACGAAUACUAAUAGAUCGAGGACUUAACCAU